CUCUGUAUCAUGCGGAGCUUCAACAUCCACCUGGAAAUUCCAUGAAGGAAUGAGUCUGAAUAUUGCUUGCUUCAAGUCCACACCACAUUCUCACCCUUUUAUCUUUCAUUACUUUGUCUUUUCCUUAAGAAUAACUUCAUGAAAACUAGGAAGAAUUUUCCAAAUAUGCAUUUUCAUUUCUUCCUCUUUCCUCUGUCCCCUAGAACUUCAUUCUUCUUAUGUUCAGAGACGAUCCAUAUUGAAAGGAAUGGGAGGAAAGAAAUGUCUGUCAGCACUUUCAGAAGGGGAACUGGCCUCUCUAGUAUUGGAAGUAACAUAAGGAGAAGCAGGACACAACAAUGCUCUAUAGAAGAUACCAUGGAUUUGCCAUAAUUUUCUGUUUUGGCCAUCAUAAUGAUGAACCUCAAGGACCAUUCAUAUGGGUUAUUUCACCUGUACAACAGUUUCCAGGCCAUUAAAGGAACACCUCACACAGUGUUUUGAGUUUCAGUGAAUCGCAAGAAAAGGAAGGAUGGGAUCUGACAUCUGGAAAUGAUUAUGAAAACUUAUUGUACUGCAAAAAUAUUCUUCUUUUUCCCUGCCCAAUUCUAACAGAAAGCAGUGAUAUUGAAACAAAUGCCAGACUAAACAGUGGAGAAAACAAUGCAAACAUGAACUUUGCCACCAUCAACCUAAGUACUCAGCUGGAUCAUCAAGGAAAGUACAGACUGGACUGUAUGGAUAUUCUGAAGUGGGUGAAGUAGUCUGCUGGGGAAAGCAACAUGAAAUUUGUAUAUAUAUUUGUGAACAUAAGCAAAAUUUGAUAUCACUGAAAACUAGCUGGUCUUAAGCUGCUGACGUGUGAACUCAGCAGAAAGAUCUAGUUUCUAAAAAAGCUCUAGGAAAAUAGGCACCUCUAGCACAGAGGAAGUCAGAAGGAAAUCAGCUAAAAAGAAUGUCUGCUCUAUUUCCUCUGAGACUUAGGUAUUUCUAUCUCCAGAAAAGGGGAAAUAACUGCAGCUUGCCUUGGGCCCCAGCUGCCUCAGUCAGCUCUUUCGUAGGCUUUGUCAUUUUCUUUUUUGAUAUUGUUGUUGGGUUUUGAGUGAUCUGGCUUUACCAUCAGUCUCCCUUUCUAAAAAUAUUUUUGCUUUUUCAAAUAACCACUGAUUCUGCAUUUAGCUAGUAAUAUGGCGUUGGAUUGCUUGACUCUGUUGAAGUAUUUUCUUGUGUCUGAAAGUUCAAGUAACUUUUAGUGUACAUUUAUCUGACUGUCAUUUAUUUUUAAUUCAAUCAAGAGCAAAUUACCAGUAUAUUGAAAAUCCUUUCAAUGUCCAGCAAUACGACGGUCUGAUUCAGUGUUCAGAACAAACAGGUGCUCACCUCAGAGAUUUUACAACCAUUGUGUAUAGGUGGGAGAGAACUGAGAGGGUGAGGAGAGAAAACUUAUUGUGAAAACCUACCAGGG
ensembl:lncRNA